rnacentral:lncRNA from 1 species
AAUGACUGUCUCCCUCGCUGGAUGUGAUGAAGUAGGCUACAUUAUGCAGCACCCCAUGAAACAAAGAAUUGAGUGUGACCACCAGGCAACAUCUGGCAAGGAGCUGAGUUCCAACAGUGCACAAGGAAGUGAAUCCUGACAACAAUCCCAAGAGCUUAGGAGUGAAUCCUUCUCCACUCCAGCCUCAGAUAAGUCUUGCCCUUAAUUGCAGCCUCAUGAAAGACUCUGAAACCUUGGGCCCAGGUGGAUUAAAGACUUAAACUGUAAAACUCCCAGGAGAAAACAUACAGAGGAGCCUUCAUUAUAUUGGUAUUGGCAGUGAUUUAUUGGAUAUGAUGCCAAAAGCACAGUACACAAAAACAAAAACAGAAUACAGCAACGGAACAAUUAACAGAGUGAAAAAGUAACCUGUGGAAUGGGAAAAUGGGAAUGCUGUUCUGCAUAGCAACGGAACAAUUGGCAGAGUGAAAAGUUUCUUGCAGCUUGGUGUGGUGGAUCUCACCUGUAAUCCCAGGACUUUGGGAGGCCGAGGCAAGAGGAUUGCUUGAGACCAGGAGAUGAAGACCAG